rnacentral:rRNA from 1 species
UACGUAGGGUGCGAGCGUUAAUCGGAAUUACUGGGCGUAAAGCGUGCGCAGGCGGUUUUGUAAGCCAGAUGUGAAAGCCCCGGGCUUAACCUGGGAAUGGCAUUUGGGACUGCAAGGCUUGAGUGCGGCAGAGGAGACUGGAAUUCCUGGUGCAGCAGUGAAAUGCGUAGAUAUCAGGAGGAAUACCGAUGGCGAAGGCAGGUCUCUGGGCUGACACUGACGCUCAUGCACGAAAGCGUGGGGAGCAAACAGG